rnacentral:rRNA from 1 species
AGAGUUUGAUCAUGGCUCAGGAUGAACGCUAGCGGCAGGCUUAAUACAUGCAAGUCGAGGGGCAGCACGAGGUAGCAAUACUUUGGUGGCGACCGGCAAACGGGUGCGGAACACGUACGCAACCUUCCCGAAACUGGGGAAUAGCCCUCCGAAAGGAGGAUUAAUACCCCGUAAGAUAGUGAAGUGGCGUCACUUUACUAUUAUAGGCAGCAAUGUCGGUUUUGGAUGGGCGUGCGCCUGAUUAGGUAGUUGGCGGGGUAACGGCCCACCAAGCCUGCGAUCAGUAACUGGUGUGAGAGCACGACCAGUCACACGGGCACUGAGACACGGGCCCGACUCCUACGGGAGGCAGCAGUAAGGAAUAUUGGUCAAUGGACGAAAGUCUGAACCAGCCAUGCCGCGUGAAGGAUGAAGGUCCUCUGGAUUGUAAACUUCUUUUAUCUGGGACGAAAAAAGGGCUUUCUAGCUCACUUGACGGUACCAGAGGAAUAAGCACCGGCUAACUCCGUGCCAGCAGCCGCGGUAAUACGGAGGGUGCAAGCGUUAUCCGGAUUCACUGGGUUUAAAGGGUGCGUAGGUGGGCAGGUAAGUCAGUGGUGAAAUCUCCGGGCUUAACCCGGAAACUGCCAUUGAUACUAUCUGUCUUGAAUAUCCUGGAGGUGAGCGGAAUAUGUCAUGUAGCGGUGAAAUGCUUAGAUAUGACAUAGAACACCCAUUGCGAAGGCAGCUCACUACGGGAUGAUUGACACUGAGGCACGAAAGCGUGGGGAUCAAACAGGAUUAGAUACCCUAGUAGUCC